AGAGUUUGAUCAUGGCUCAGAUUGAACGCUGGCGGCAGGCUUAACACAUGCAAGUCGAGCGGGCGUAGCAAUACGUCAGCGGCAGACGGGUGAGUAACACGUGGGAACGUACCCUUUGGUUCGGAAUAACGCUGGGAAACUAGCGCUAAUACCGGAUACGCCCUUUUGGGGAAAGGUUUACUGCCGAAGGAUCGGCCCGCGUCUGAUUAGCUAGUUGGUGGGGUAAUGGCCUACCAAGGCGACGAUCAGUAGCCGGCCUGAGAGGGCGGUCGGCCACACUGGCACUGAAAUACGGGCCAGACUCCUACGGGAGGCAGCAGUGGGGAAUCUUGCACAAUGGGGGAAACCCUGAUGCAGCAACGCCGCGUGAGUGAUGACGGCCUUCGGGUUGUAAAGCUCUGUCUUCAGGGACGAUAAUGACGGUACCUGAGGAGGAAGCCACGGCUAACUACGUGCCAGCAGCCGCGGUAAUACGUAGGGUGCGAGCGUUGUCCGGAAUUACUGGGCGUAAAGAGCUCGUAGGCGGUCUGUCGCGUCGGUCGUGAAAACUUGGGGCUUAACCCUGAGCUUGCGGUCGAUACGGGCAUGACUGGAGUUCGGCAGGGGAGACUGGAAUUCCUGGUGUAGCGGUGGAAUGCGCAGAUAUCAGGAGGAACACCGGUGGCGAAGGCGGUUCUCUGGGCAUGACCUGACGCUGAGGAGCGAAAGUGUGGGGAGCGAACAGGAUUAGAUACCCUGGUAGUCCACGCCGUAAACGAUGUCGACUUGGAGGUUGUGCCCUUGAGGCGUGGCUUCCGGAGCUAACGCGUUAAGUCGACCGCCUGGGGAGUACGGCCGCAAGGUUAAAACUCAAAUGAAUUGACGGGGGCCCGCACAAGCGGCGGAGCAUGCGGAUUAAUUCGAUGCAACGCGAAGAACCUUACCAGGGCUUGACAUGCCGUGAAUCUUCUUGAGAGAGAGGAGUGCCCUUGGGAACGCGGACACAGGUGGUGCAUGGCUGUCGUCAGCUCGUGCCGUGAGGUGUUGGGUUAAGUCCCGCAACGAGCGCAACCCCCGCGGCCAGUUGCGCGAUGUUUCUGGCCGGACCGCCGGUAGCAAGCCGGAGGAAGGUGGGGACGACGUCAAAUCAUCAUGCCCCUUACGUCUUGGGCUUCACGCAUGCUACAAUGGCCGGUACAAUGGGUUGCGAUACUGUGAGGUGGAGCUAAUCCCAAAAAGCCGGUCUCAGUUCGGAUUGGGGUCUGCAACUCGACCCCAUGAAGUCGGAGUCGCUAGUAAUCGCAGAUCAGCAAUGCUGCGGUGAAUACGUUCCCGGGUCUUGUACACACCGCCCGUCACACCACGAGAGUUUGUAACACCCGAAGUCGGUGAGGUAACGCAGA
rnacentral:rRNA from 1 species